rnacentral:lncRNA from 1 species
UUCAGGACUCAGUGACCUUUGAGGAUGUGGCUGUGAACUUCACCCAGGAGGAGUGGGCUUUGCUGGGUCCUUCCCAGAAGAAUCUCUACAGAGAUGUGAUGUGGGAAACCUUCAGGAACCUGAUGUCUGUAGAAGUCAUAUGGUAGAGAGAGUCUGAAGGUAAGGAAGAUGGUCAAUGUGAAGAGAUCUUCAGCCUUGUUCCAAAUGGUAUAGUGAAGACGACUUUUACUGGAGUCAAAUCAUGUGAAAGCAGUGUGUGUGAAGAAGGCAAUAUGGAUCAUUCAUCUCUUAAUUGCUGCAUCAGAGCUGACACUGGACACAAAUCAGAUGAGUGUCAGCAACAUAGAAGCCACAUAAGCAGUGUGUGAAAACCUUCAGCUAUUGCCACUCCUUUCAAACACAUGAAAGGCCUCACACUGGAAAGAAACUCCAUGUAAGAAAUGUGGAAAAACCUUCAUUUCUGUUCAAACCUUUUGAAGAUACAUGGUAAUGCACAGUGAAGAUGAACCUUAUAAAUGUAAGUUUUGUGGGAAGGCCUUUGAUAAUCUACAUUUAUAUCUUACACAUGAAAGAACUCACACUGGAGAGAAACCCUAUGAAUGUAAUAAAUGUGGGAAAGCCUUCAGUUGUUCCAGUUCCAUUCGAAAACAUGCAAGAAUUCACACUGGAGAGAAACCCUAUAUAUGUAAACAAUGUGGCAAAGCCUUUAGAUAUUCCAGUUCUAUUCGAAAUCAUGAAAACACUCACACUGGUGAAAAACCCUGUGAAUGUAAGCAAUGUGGGAAAGCCUUUAGUUAUUCCAGUUACUUUCGAAUACAUGAAAGAAUUCACACUGGAGAGCAGGUGUAUAAAUGUAAGGAAUGUGGGAAAACAUUCACUUAUCCCAGUGCCUUUCAUAAACAUAAAAGUACCCACACUUCACAGAAACUUUAUGAAUGUAAGGAAUGUGGGAAAGCAUUUGAUUGUUUUAGUUCCUUUCAUAGUCAUGAAGGGGUUCACACUGGAGAGAAACCCUAUGAAUGCAGAACGUGGAAAAGCCUUCAGUAGUUCUAAGUACUUAAAAAUACAUGGAAGAACUCACACUGGAGAGAAGUCCUAUGCAGUAAAGAAUGAGGGAAAGUAUUUUAUUGUCUCAGUCCCCUUCAAAGACAUGAAAGGACUCACAUCAGAGAAAAGUUGUAUGAAUGUAAAAAAUGUGAUAAAGCCUUCCAUUCGUCCAGUACUGUUAGAAACCAUGAAAGAAGUCACAUUUAAGAAAAACACAGUGAUGUUAGGAAUAUGGGGAACCUUUCCUUUCUCUUCCAGUCUUUGGAAGGCACAGGGUAUGACACACUGGUGACCUUAUAACUGUAAGGAGUGUGGAUAAGUAUUUAUUAGUCCUUGUGUGUUUUAGAUACAUGAAAGAAUUUACUCAAAAGGAAACUCUAUGAAUGUAAAGAAUGUGGUAAAACCUGUGUAGUUUCAGUUUCUCUUGAAUAAAGUCAUUUCCUGGUAUUCUCAGGGGAUUGGUUCCAGC